UUUCUUCCUCUGUUACCAGAUUGUCUUUACCUUCAAGUGAGAGGUCCAGCAGUUGUCCUAGUGUUUCUUGUCACUGCAGUCAAAUAAAAAUGUCACAACAUGUAGUGUCAUUUAUGAAGACAGCCAGGAGGAAAACACCCAGAGAACCAGAGAGAGACUCAAUGCAUGCAUAUGUAUGAGUUGCAUUAUGGCAGUGGAGAGAGACUCCGAGCAAGACAACUGCUGUAACACACACUACCUGAGAUAUGUAUACAUAGAUUUCUUUUUAAUAACUGUAAUAUGUGUCACACUACCAUUGAACAGUUUGGAAUCAGCUGUUAAACUGAUGUCAUUCUUCUUUUCCCUCAAUUAUGGCUACUUUAAAAGAGAGAAAAACAUUCAAGUUCAGACACCAAAUACAUUUAAAAUGGGUGCACUGAAUUAUGUUUAUGCUAAUCAAGCAUUUUUUUAAUUUUGAUAAACUUUUAUAGAGUAAAUGUGUUUUAUGUUCUGUUCUUGUGAAUAUGUUCAUGUACAUGUUGCAUUAUAUGUUUAAGACAUGUUGUCUGACAGAUUUUUUUGUUAUGAUCUAAAAAUUUUAGUCAU